GUGCAUGGUUUAAGACUGUACAUAAAACUUGGAAGAAUAUCUGGCAUGCCUGAGGUCUGGGGAACAAGGGUUGCUUGUUGCCUUUGCCUGCCUUUGGUUGCCCACAUGU